GAUGAACGCUGGCGGCGUGCCUAACACAUGCAAGUCGAGCGAACAGACGAGGAUCUUGCUCCUCGGACGUUGGCGGCGGACGGGUGAUUAACACGUGGGUAACCUACCUAUGAGACUGGGAUAACUUAGGGCAACCGGAUCUAAUACCGGAUAAUAUAUUGAACCGCAUGGUUCAAUAGUGAACGACGGUUUUGCUGUCACUUAUAGAUGGAUCCGCGCCGCAUUAGUUAGUUGGUAAGGUAACGGCUUACCAAGGCGACGAUGCGUAGCCGACCUGAGAGGGCGAUCGGCCACACUGGAACUGAGACACGGCCCAGACUCCUACGGGAGGCAGCAGUAGGGAAUUUUCCGCAAUGGGCGAAAGCUUGACGGAGCGACGCCGCGUGAGUGAUGAAGGUCUUCGGAUCGUAAAGCACUUUUGGCGGGAACGAAAAGAUCUGUGACAAACUCACCGUGCGAUGACGGUACCCGCAGAGAAAGCACCGGCUAACUACGUG
rnacentral:rRNA from 1 species